UACGUAGGGGCCGAGCGUUGUCCGGAAUUAUUGGGCGUAAAGAGCUCGUAGGCGGCUGAGCAAGUCGGGUGGGAAAUCUCCAGGCUCAACCUGGAGCCUUCGCUCGAUACUGCUCUAGCUAGAGUCCGGUAGGGGAGUGUGGAAUUCCCGGUGUAGCGGUGAAAUGCGUAGAUAUCGGGAGGAAUACCAGUGGCGAAGGCGGCCUUCUGGACUGACACUGACGCUGAGGCGCGAAAGCCAGGGGAGCAAACGGG
rnacentral:rRNA from 1 species